AACGAACGCUGGCGGCAUGCCUAACACAUGCAAGUCGAACGAGACCUUCGGGUCUAGUGGCGCACGGGUGCGUAACGCGUGGGAACCUGCCCUUAGGUUCGGAAUAACUCCCCGAAAGGGGUGCUAAUACCGGAUAAUGUCUUCGGACCAAAGAUUUAUCGCCUUUGGAUGAGCCCGCGUUGGAUUAGCUAGUUGGUAGGGUAAAAGCCUACCAAGGCGACGAUCCAUAGCUGGUCUGAGAGGAUGAUCAGCCACACUGGGACUGAGACACGGCCCAGACUCCGACGGGAGGCAGCAGUGGGGAAUAUUGGACAAUGGGCGAAAGCCUGAUCCAGCAAUGCCGCGUGAGUGAUGAAGGCCUUAGGGUUGUAAAGCCCUUUUACCCGGGAUGAUAAUGACAGUACCGGGAGAAUAAGCUCCGGCUAACUCCGU
rnacentral:rRNA from 1 species